AUUGCCCUAGUAACGGCGAGUGAAGCGGCAACAGCUCAAAUUUGAAAUCUGGCUUCGGCCCGAGUUGUAAUUUGUAGAGGAAGCUUUUGGUGAGGCACCUUCUGAGUCCCCUGGAACGGGGCGCCAUAGAGGGUGAGAGCCCCGUAUAGUCGGAUGCCGAUCCAAUGUAAAGCUCCUUCGACGAGUCGAGUAGUUUGGGAAUGCUGCUCAAAAUGGGAGGUAAAUUUCUUCUAAAGCUAAAUACCGGCCAGAGACCGAUAGCGCACAAGUAGAGUGAUCGAAAGAUGAAAAGCACUUUGAAAAGAGGGUUAAAUAGCACGUGAAAUUGUUGAAAGGGAAGCGUUUGUGACCAGACUUGCGCCGUUCCGAUCAUCCGGUGUUCUCACCGGUGCACUCGGGACGGCUCAGGCCAGCAUCGGUUUUGGCGGGGGGACAAAGGUCCUGGGAACGUAGCUCCUCCGGGAGUGUUAUAGCCCAGGGCGUAAUGCCCUCGCCGGGACCGAGGUUCGCGCAUCUGCAAGGAUGCUGGCGUAAUGGUCAUCAACGACCCGUCUUGAAACACGGACCAAGGAGUCAAGGUUUUGCGCGAGUGUUUGGGUGUAAAACCCGCACGCGUAAUGAAAGUGAACGUAGGUGAGAGCUUCGGCGCAUCAUCGACCGAUCCUGAUGUAUUCGGAUGGAUUUGAGUAAGAGCGUUAAGCCUUGGACCCGAAAGAUGGUGAACUAUGCUUGGAUAGGGUGAAGCCAGAGGAAACUCUGGUGGAGGCUCGCAGCGGUUCUGACGUGCAAAUCGAUCGUCAAAUCUGAGCAUGGGGGCGAAAGACUA
rnacentral:rRNA from 2 species